rnacentral:rRNA from 1 species
AUUGAACGCUGGCGGCAGGCCUAACACAUGCAAGUCGAGCGGAUGAAGGGAGCUUGCUCCUGGAUUCAGCGGCGGACGGGUGAGUAAUGCCUAGGAAUCUGCCUGGUAGUGGGGGAUAACGUCCGGAAACGGGCGCUAAUACCGCAUACGUCCUGAGGGAGAAAGUGGGGGAUCUUCGGACCUCACGCUAUCAGAUGAGCCUAGGUCGGAUUAGCUAGUUGGUGGGGUAAAGGCCUACCAAGGCGACGAUCCGUAACUGGUCUGAGAGGAUGAUCAGUCACACUGGAACUGAGACACGGUCCAGACUACUACGGGAGGCAGCAGUGGGGAAUAUUGGACAAUGGGCGAAAGCAUGAUACAGCCAUGCCGCGUGUGUGAAGAAGGUCUUCGGAUUGUAAAGCACUUUAAGUUGGGAGGAAGGGCAGUAAGUUAAUACCUUGCUGUUUUGACGUUACCAACAGAAUAAGCACCGGCUAACUUCGUG